rnacentral:rRNA from 1 species
GAAGCGUCUGGAAAGGCGCGCGAUACAGGGUGACAGCCCCGUACACAAAAAUGCACAUGCUGUGAGCUCGAUGAGUAGGGCGGGACACGUGGUAUCCUGUCUGAAUAUGGGGGGACCAUCCUCCAAGGCUAAAUACUCCUGACUGACCGAUAGUGAACCAGUACCGUGAGGGAAAGGCGAAAAGAACCCCGGCGAGGGGAGUGAAAAAGAACCUGAAACCGUGUACGUACAAGCAGUGGGAGCACGCUUAGGCGUGUGACUGCGUACCUUUUGUAUAAUGGGUCAGCGACUUAUAUUCUGUAGCAAGGUUAACCGAAUAGGGGAGCCGAAGGGAAACCGAGUCUUAACUGGGCGUUAAGUUGCAGGGUAUAGACCCGAAACCCGGUGAUCUAGCCAUGGGCAGGUUGAAGGUUGGGUAACACUAACUGGAGGACCGAACCGACUAAUGUUGAAAAAUUAGCGGAUGACUUGUGGCUGGGGGUGAAAGGCCAAUCAAACCGGGAGAUAGCUGGUUCUCCCCGAAAGCUAUUUAGGUAGCGCCUCGUGAAUUCAUCUCCGGGGGUAGAGCACUGUUUCGGCAAGGGGGUCAUCCCGACUUACCAACCCGAUGCAAACUGCGAAUACCGGAGAAUGUUAUCACGGGAGACACACGGCGGGUGCUAACGUCCGUCGUGAAGAGGGAAACAACCCAGACCGCCAGCUAAGGUCCCAAAGUCAUGGUUAAGUGGGAAACGAUGUGGGAAGGCCCAGACAGCCAGGAUGUUGGCUUAGAAGCAGCCAUCAUUUAAAGAAAGCGUAAUAGCUCACUGGUCGAGUCGGCCUGCGCGGAAGAUGUAACGGGGCUAAACCAUG